rnacentral:rRNA from 1 species
CAGUAGCCACGGGAAUACGGAGGGAGCUAGCGUUGUUCGGAAUUACUGGGCGUAAAGCGCGCGUAGGCGGCUACUCAAGUCAGAGGUGAAAGCCCGGGGCUCAACCCCGGAACUGCCUUUGAAACUAGGUAACUAGAAUCUUGGAGAGGUCAGUGGAAUUCCGAGUGUAGAGGUGAAAUUCGUAGAUAUUCGGAAGAACACCAGUGGCGAAGGCGACUGACUGGACAAGUAUUGACGCUGAGGUGCGAAAGCGUGGGGAGCAAACAGGAUUAGAUACCCCCGUAGUCCCUGUCUCUUAUAC